GUGGAUUAGAUACCCUGGUAGUCCACGCCGUAAACGAUGAUUGCUAGCCGUUGGGCAGCUUGCUGUUCAGUGGCGCAGCUAACGCAUUAAGCAAUCCGCCUGGGGAGUACGGCCGCAAGGUUGAAACUCAAAGGAAUUGACGGGGGCCCGCACAAGCGGUGGAGCAUGUGGUUUAAUUCGACGCAACGCGCAGAACCUUACCAGGGUUUGACAUCCUGCGACCGCCUCGUAAUUGGGGUUUUCCCGCAAGGGACGCAGAGACAGGUGCUGCAUGGCUGUCGACAGCU
rnacentral:rRNA from 1 species